AUUGAACGCUGGCGGAAUGCUUUACACAUGCAAGUCGAACGGUAGAGGGGGCAACCCCCUUGAGAGUGGCGAACGGGUGAGUAAUAUAUCGGAACGUGCCCAGUCGUGGGGAUAACGUAGCGAAAGUUACGCUAAUACCGCAUACGAUCUACGGAUGAAAGCGGGGGACUCGCAAGAGCCUCGCGCGAUUGGAGCGGCCGAUAUCAGAUUAGGUAGUUGGUGGGGUAAAGGCUCACCAAGCCAACGAUCUGUAGCUGGUCUGAGAGGACGACCAGCCACACUGGAACUGAGACACGGUCCAGACUCCUACGGGAGGCAGCAGUGGGGAAUUUUGGACAAUGGGCGCAAGCCUGAUCCAGCAAUGCCGCGUGCAGGAUGAAGGCCUUCGGUUGG
rnacentral:rRNA from 1 species